rnacentral:tRNA from 1 species
GCUCUGGUGGUCUAACGGUUAGCACACUUGGCCUGUAUUCAAGAGGUCCAGCUUCAAAUCCUGGCUAGGGUA